rnacentral:rRNA from 1 species
CUCGCAAGAGCAAGCAGGGGACCUUCGGGCCUUGCGCUACCGGAUAUGCCCAGGUGGGAUUAGCUAGUUGGUGAGGUAAGGGCUCACCAAGGCGACGAUCCCUAGCUGGUCUGAGAGGAUGGAUCAGCCACACUGGAACUGAGACACGGUCCAGACUCCUACGGGAGGCAGCAGUGGGGAAUAUUGCACAAUGGGCGCAAGCCUGAUGCAGCCAUGCCGCGUGUAUGAAGAAGGCCUUGGGUU